rnacentral:rRNA from 1 species
UACGAGGGGGGCGAGCGUUGUUCGGAAUUAUUGGGCGUAAAGGGUGCGUAGGCGGUUUGGUAAGUCUUAUGUGAAAUCUACAGGCUCAACUUGUAGUCUGCAUGAGAAACUGCCGGGCUUGAGUAUGGGAGAGGUGAGUGGAAUUCCUGGUGUAGCGGUGAAAUGCGUAGAUAUCAGGAGGAACACCUGUGGCGAAAGCGGCUCACUGGACCAUAACUGACGCCGAUGCACGAAAGCUAGGGGAGCAAACAGG